rfam:Loxodonta africana unplaced genomic scaffold scaffold_154, whole genome shotgun sequence.
ACAAUGAUGGUUCAGUGGUAGAAUUCUCAUCUUCGACGUGAGAGACCCAGGUUAGAUUCCCGGCCAGUGCA